rnacentral:rRNA from 1 species
CUCGCCUACACGAAGUUGGAAUUGCUAGUAAUCGUGGAUCAGCAUGCCACGGUGAAUACGUUCCCGGGUCUUGUACACACCGCCCGUCACACCAUGGGAGCUGGUAACACCCGAAGUCAGUAGUCUAACCGCAAGGAGGACGCUGCCGAAGGUGGGAUUAGCGACUGGGGUGAAGUCGUAACAAGGUACC